rnacentral:misc_RNA from 1 species
CAAAGACGAUACCGAUUUGGACGUGUGUGUUGAAUCGUGCAAUCAGGAAUUAUAGAACGAGAUUUGGUUUGAAUGGCAGUGCAGAAAAGAAUGAGUCAAAUGAUUGCGCUGAAUGUGGUAAUACUAUUAAUGAGGACUCAUAUAACUGGGAUUGUUCCUUGCAUCUCCCUUUGUGGGUCUCAAAUACUGAAAGAGUGCUUAUUGAGGAGCGUUUAGACGGGUGGACCAAGGAUCUGGAGGUCAGUGGAGCUGACAUUG